rnacentral:rRNA from 1 species
UUCCGGUUGAUCCUGCCGGAGGCUACCGCUAUUGGAGUUCGAUUAAGCCAUGCGAGUCGAGAGUCCUCGGGACUCGGCGUACCGCUCAGUAACACGUGGGUAACCUGCCCUAUGCUGGGGAAUAACCUCGGGAAACUGAGAACAAUGCCCCAUAGCCCACUACGCCUGGAACGGUGAGUGGGUCAAAGCUCCGGCGGCAUAGGAUGGGCCUGCGCCGUAUCAGGUUGUAGGGGGUGUAAAGUACCCUCUAGCCAUCAACGCGUACGGGUGUUGGGAGACAUUGCCCGGAGAUGGAUUCUGAGACACGAAUCCAGACCCUACGGGGUGCAGCAGGCGCGAAAACUUGGCAAUGCGAGAAAUCGUGACCAGGGAACUCCAAGUGCGUAGGGUAAGACCUACGCUUUUCUUGACUCUUCAAAGGUCUUGGAAUAAGGGGUGGGUAAGGACGGUGCCAGCCGCCGCGGUAAUACCGGCGCCUCAAGUGGUAGUCGCUUUUAUUGGGCCUAAAACGUCCGUAGCCGGUCUGGUGCAUUCGUGGGUAAAUCAACCCGCUCAACGGGUUGAAUUCUGCGAGCACGGCCAGACUUGGGACCGGGAGAGGUGUGGGGUACUCUCAGGGUAGGGGUAAAAUCCUGUCAUCCUGAGAGGACCACCCUGUUGCGAAGGCGCCACACUAGAACGGA